UGGAGUCUGAGGAUCACUUGCUCUUGGCCAGUCCCAUCAGGAGGGACCACCCAGACCAGCCUCCUCUGUGCACAGAUGGGGAAACUGAGGCUGGGAUGGGAAGGACUCAGCCAAGGCCGCACAGCAAGUCUGGGCAGAGCAUGCAUCAGGCUCUUCCUACUUUCUCCACGGCACCGGCUGGAGGAAUCACAUGCAGAUCCUGCCCCUUCCAAGCUCAUAGUCGUGCUGGGGAGACAGGCCAAGGGGAAGCGUCUAACAGGUCUCACCAGCCAGACCUGAGAGAGACCCAGCUCUGCAGGCCUCGGCGCCCGCACAGCAGCUCAACAGCCUGAUGCUGACUAUGUCUUCACAGCCCUUUACAGUUUGCAAAGCACUUGUCUACUCACCAUUAGAGCCUCGCAAGAAUCCUGUGAGGAAUAUUUAUUGAGCAUCUUCUACAUGCCAAGUCCUGUGCUGGGGCUGGAAUUCCUGUGCUGACCCCGGAGACCAGAGAAAUGUUUUCUGCUCCAUUCUCACUGGCUGGACCUUGGCCUCCUCCCACCUCCCUGGCUGCAGCUGCAAAGAGAAGAAAGCUUUGAUUGGGCCCUGAAAGACAGAUUUAAGGAGCUUUGGAGACAACUUUCUCACACACUUGGCUUUCAUCAAUGGUGGUCACCAUCCUUGAGCUGUGAUUCCAGGCCAGAAUCCACGCAGACAGCAGCCUUUGGCCAGCUCUGUUCAAGAUGGUGGGAGGGGUUCAAAGGAGAACAAAGACAAGGAUGAUGCUAGACGCCCAGUUGGAGAUGGCAGAUAACCCAUCAAACUGAGCUGGAAGCCAUCCUGAAGCAUCUAGCAUUUCUGUUGAUCCUGCCAAAUGGCAGUCUCCUGGGACCCAACCAGAGAUGGGAACUCUGCUACCUCUUGAGGGACAUGGAUCUACGCCUCUGGGUGGCUUCCCGGGAUGAAGCUGCAGUCCCUGGGACAUCAGAGAGUCCAAAGCAAUCAAGAUUCUCAGAUCUUCAUCCAGGAAAAAGGACAGCCCGGGGCCAGUUUUGGCCCCAAGUUUUCAUGUCUUCAUCACUUCAAGAACUACUGUUUUAUUCUGAAGGAUUGGCACCUAAACGAUCUGAGAAUAUUACAAAAAUAAUGAUA